rnacentral:rRNA from 1 species
UACGAAGGGGGCUAGCGUUGCUCGGAAUUACUGGGCGUAAAGGGCGCGUAGGCGGCACAGUUAGUCAGGCGUGAAAUUCCUGGGCUCAACCUGGGGAUUGCGCUUGAGACGGCUGCGCUUGAGGACGGAAGAGGGUCGCGGAAUUCCCAGUGUAGAGGUGAAAUUCGUAAGAUAUUGGGAAGAACACCGGUGGCGAAGGCGGCGACCUGGUCCGUUACUGACGCUGAGGCGCGACAGCGUGGGGAGCAAACAGG